rnacentral:misc_RNA from 1 species
UGCAUUUCUUGAAAGGUGGGUGCAAUGGGAUGGUAGCUUGGGGCUUAAACUCUGUAUUGAAUGGCGUGAUUCUGCUGUUGUUUUUGAGGUUUUACGUGAAGUUACAUUUGAUAAAGAGGAAGGCCAGCAUGGUGAGUGAAUUCGAGGGUUCUUAUUCGCUGCAUGUGCACUCUGCUUCGGAGAUAAGGAAUGAAAAAGCGAGUUGAUGAGUUCACCUGAACUAGGUUCUCCUUCCAAGUUCCCCCCAC